rnacentral:rRNA from 1 species
UGGGGAAUAUUGGACAAUGGGCGCAAGCCUGAUCCAGCAAUGCCGCGUGUGUGAAGAAGGCCUUCGGGUUGUAAAGCACUUUUAUCAGGAGCGAAACGCUGUCGGCUAAUACCCGGCGGAACUGACGGUACCUGAGGAAUAAGCACCGGCUAACUUCGUGCCAGCAGCCGCGGUAAUACGAAGGGUGCAAGCGUUAAUCGGAAUUACUGGGCGUAAAGCGUGCGUAGGCGGUUUCUUAAGUCUGCUGUGAAAUCCCCGGGCUCAACCUGGGAAUGGCAGUGGAUACUGGGAGGCUAGAGUGUGUCAGAGGGUGGUGGAAUUCCCGGUGUAGCGGUGAAAUGCGUAGAGAUCGGGAGGAACAUCAGUGGCGAAGGCGGCCACCUGGGACAACACUGACGCUGAGGCACGAAAGCGUGGGGAGCAAACAGGAUUAGAUACCCUGGUAGUCCACGCCCUAAAGCGAUGCGAACUGGAUGUUGGUCUCAACUCGGAGAUCAGUGUCGAAGCUAACGCGUUAAGUUCGCGCCUGGGAGUACGGUCGCAAGACUGAAACUCAAAGGAAUUGACGGGGUCAUAGCUGUUUCCUG